ACGUAGGACCCGAGCGUUGUCCGGAAUUACUGGGUGUAAAGGGUGCGCAGGCGGGCUUGUGCGUCAGAGGUUAAAGGCCCCGGCUCAACCGGGGAGAUGCCUUUGAUACGGCAAGUCUUGAGUACUAGAGAGGAUGGUGGAAUUCCUGGUGUAGCGGUGAAAUGCGUAGAUAUCAGGAGGAACACCCGUGGCGAAGGCGGCCAUCUGGCUAGUAACUGACGCUCAGGCACGAAAGCGUGGGUAGCGAACAGGAUUAGAUACCCUGGUAGUCCACGCCCUAAACGAUGUAUGCUUGGUGUUGGCUCCCUUGUGGGGUCAGUGCCGUAGGUAACCCGUUAAGCAUACCACCUGGGGAGUACGAUCGCAAGGUUG
rnacentral:rRNA from 1 species